AUGCUGUCAGCAGCACAUAUAGUAAAACUGGAAUGAUACAGAGAAGAUUGGCAUAGCCCCUGCACAUGGAUGACAUGCAAAUUCAUGAAGUGGUCCAUAUUUUC